ACUACGGGAGGCAGCAGUGAGGAAUAUUGGUCAAUGGACGCAAGUCUGAACCAGCCAUGCCGCGUGCAGGAAGACGGCUCUAUGAGUUGUAAACUGCUUUUGUACGAGGGUAAACGCAGAUACGCGUAUCUGUCUGAAAGUAUUGUACGAAUAAGGAUCGGCUAACUCCGUGCCAGCAGCCGCGGUAAUACGGAGGAUGCAAGCGUUAUCCGGAUUUAUUGGUGUUAAAGGGUGCUUAGGCGGUGGGAUAAGUUAGAGGUGAAAUCCCGAGGCGCAACUUUGGAAUUGCCUCUGAUUCUGUUCGGCUAGAGAGUAGUUGCGGUAGGCGGAAUGUAUGGUGUAGCGGUGAGAUGCUUAGAGAUCAUACAGAACACCGAUUGCGAAGGCAGCUUACCAAGCUACUUCUGACGUUGAGGCACGAAAGCGUGGGGAGCAAACAGGAUUAGAUACCCGGGUAGUC
rnacentral:rRNA from 1 species